GUUCCUUAUUUGUAUUAAGUCUCUCCCACUAGCUUCGACAAAUAAAUUACAAUCCUAUUUAAGGAGUGGUAACAGGAAUAAUAGCCAUGACCAAUAAAAUUCCUGCACAAGAUACCAUUCAAUAAAAAGAUACUGAAAAUCAACAAUCAAAUUGUACUGAAAAUCAAGAGCAAUGUAUUAUUGUUUCAAGAUCCUUAACAUACUAUCAAACAAGCUAUGAUUAAUGGAGACAAUUUACGAUAUGGAUAUCAAGCUUGUGAUUAAACAAACCAACGUGCAAAAUCGAAUUGAUCAAACCAACGAUUGGGACAAGCCAACGUUAUGAUGAUUUGUGAUACAACUUGAUUACCAAAAUGAUAAACCACUUGGACAACAAACUCUCUAUGACUUCUCCGAUGAAAUUAUCAGAAGAGGGAGAAUGUUGCGUUAUAUACUUUUUGUUUUUGAAUUCUUUUUGUUUUUGAAUUUUUUAUAAUCUAAUUUUUAUUAUU